AUUCCAGCUCCAAUAGCGUAUAUUAAUGUUGUUGCAGUUAAAAAGCUCGUAGUUGGAUUUCUGGUCGGAACGCCGGUCCGGCUCCGCAAGGGGUCGUGUAUUGGUUUCUCCUGCCAUCCUCAGGGGGAGCUGCGCUGGUAUUCAUUUAUCGGCGUGGUUACGCCUGUCGUUUACUGUGAACAAAUUAGAGUGUUCAAAGCAAGGUGUACUUGAAUACAUUAGCAUGGAAUAAUAAGAUAGGACUUUGGUUCUAUUUUGUUGGUUGGAGGCCAAGGUAAUGAUUAAUAGGGAUAGUUGGGGGUAUUCAUAUAUAAUUGUCAGAGGUGAAAUUCUUGGAUUUAUGAAAGAUGAACUUAUGCGAAAGCAUUUACCAAGGAUGUUUUCAUCG
rnacentral:rRNA from 1 species